CUAAGAGAUCUAGCAUUCUGCAGAAAAGUACUGGAGAUGACUCAGGACUGAAAAUGAUCAUGAAGCCCUUUGCAAAUAUCAAAGUGGUGAUGAAGCAGUCAUGAACUUUGACCAGAAGCCGUGUUUUGUGGGAUUGACGCUUUAAUCGCUCCUGUUCAUCAUUAGGACUGCAGCCAGAGUGUGGAAGGAGGUGACAGCACAGAGGAAGAGAUGGUCCAAGACCAAAGAGGAAAGAAAUGGCAUAAGAUGGGGCAGUGUUCUAUGAUCUCUAACUGGCCAAAGAAAAAUGAGAAACAAAUUUAAAAGAAGACACAGUUGGAUGACUUAAACACCACCCCUGAGAGGCAGCUGUUUCCAGAAUAUUGCACAAUUUAUUGAGUUCAUGAGAAUUGUGAUCGUUGGCAUGACCGAACUUCACGGAGGGAAUCAUAGGCACUUUAAUUCCAAUUUGUUGACUUAUGGAGGAAGCAAUUUCUCCCAGUGGUGUCCCUUCAUCCAGGAACAAGAGCCUAGGUGUUGGUCUUUUUAAUAUUGAUAGCACAUUUGCUCAAAUGUUUG
rnacentral:lncRNA from 1 species